CUUGUAAUUAUGGCUUUCUCGUGAUUAAUUUUUUUUUCUCUCGCUAUGGUGUUUUUUUUUUUUUUUUUUUGGUUAAUCAGCCAGGAAGACCUUGCCGGGGCUUCCGGGUAAAACAGGAAACAGCAUGGAGAUACUUGUGAAGCUUGAUGACGCUUUACCCUCAUUUGCCACUGCAGCAACACAAGGAUCAGCUCAGAGAGCAGGAAAGCAUCAUUUCCCCAUUGACGAGCUCCCCCCCGCAGGAGCUCAUAUGAGACGUCAGCAGGUUUGGGAGAAGGGCUGAAUAGCUCUACGGUGUGUGCCUACCGAUGAGGACGUUCUGUGGGAGAGACGGCAGUCGGAGGUUGAGGAAUAAAUAAGGAGGAAAUUCAACAUGUGGACGUUCGAGCUGUUGCCAUGAAGAUACAGUGUUGAAGUCAUCAUCUGGAACAUGCUUCCACCUUCUGGCUGGUCCUCGCCUCUGCAAUCACAUACAACGCGCCGCCUCCUGCGUGCCACUGGAACCGUUCAAGGCUUUUAAAGUGUUAUCAUCUAUUCGACAAUAAAAAAUAAAUAAAAAAAAGCAAGUAUAAAUAUUUUUGUC